UGGGGAAUUUUGGACAAUGGGGGAAACCCUGAUCCAGCCAUCCCGCGUGUUCGAUGAAGGCCUUCGGGUUGUAAAGCACUUUUGGCAGGAAAGAAACGUCAUGGGUUAAUACCCCGUGAAACUGACGGUACCUGCAGAAUAAGCACCGGCUAACUACGUGCCAGCAGCCGCGGUAAUACGUAGGGUGCAAGCGUUAAUCGGAAUUACUGGGCGUAAAGCGUGCGCAGGCGGUUCGGAAAGAAAGAUGUGAAAUCCCAGAGCUCAACUUUGGAACUGCAUUUUUAACUACCGGGCUAGAGUGUGUCAGAGGGAGGUGGAAUUCCGCGUGUAGCAGUGAAAUGCGUAGAUAUGCGGAGGAACACCGAUGGCGAAGGCAGCCUCCUGGGAUAACACUGACGCUCAUGAACGAAAGCGUGGGGAGCAAACAGG
rnacentral:rRNA from 1 species